UAGGGAAUCUUCGGCAAUGGACGAAAGUCUGACCGAGCAACGCCGCGUGAGUGAAGAAGGUUUUCGGAUCGUAAAACUCUGUUGUUAGAGAAGAACAAGGACGUUAGUAACUGAACGUCCCCUGACGGUAUCUAACCAGAAAGCCACGGCUAACUACGUGCCAGCAGCCGCGGUAAUACGUAGGUGGCAAGCGUUGUCCGGAUUUAUUGGGCGUAAAGCGCACGCAGGCGGUUUCUUAAGUCUGAUGUGAAAGCCCCCGGCUCAACCGGGGAGGGUCAUUGGAAACUGGGAGACUUGAGUGCAGAAGAGGAGAGUAGAAUUCCAUGUGUAGCGGUGAAAUGCGUAGAGAUGUGGAGGAAUACCGGUGGCGAAGGCGGCCCCCUGGACAAAGACUGACGCUCAGGUGCGAAAGCGUGGGGAGCAAACAGG
rnacentral:rRNA from 1 species